GAUGAACGCUGGCGGCGUGCCUAAUACAUGCAAGUCGAACGCUUCACUUCGGUGAAGAGUGGCGAACGGGUGAGUAAUACAUAAGUACCCUGGCAUCUACAGGGGGAUAACUGAUGGAAACGUCAGCUAAGACCGCAUAGGUGUAGAGAUCGCAUGAACUCUAUAUGAAAAGUGCUACGGGACUGGUAGAUGAUGGACUUAUGGCGCAUUAGCUGGUUGGUAGGGUAACGGCCUACCAAGGCGACGAUGCGUAGCCGACCUGAGAGGGUGACCGGCCACACUGGGACUGAGACACGGCCCAGACUCCUACGGGAGGCAGCAGUAGGGAAUUUUCGGCAAUGGGGGAAACUCUGACCGAGCAACGCCGCGUGAAGGAAGAAGUAAUUCGUUAUGUAAACUUCUGUCAUAGAGGAAGAACGGUGGAUAUAGGGAAUGAUAUCCAAGUGACGGUACUCUAUAAGAAAGCCACGGCUAACUACGUGCCAGCAGCCGCAGUAAUAC
rnacentral:rRNA from 1 species